rnacentral:misc_RNA from 1 species
GGAUGAUCCUCUUUCAAAAAUAUUUCCUUUUGUGAAUACGUAGAUAGAAGCAUCAAUUGAGCAGAUAAAUCUCUCUCCCCAUCCUCUGGGUUAAAAAACUGCCCAACUGCCAUGGAAGCUGCUGGUGGNNNNNNCCUGAAAUGGUCGGACGAGGAGCAACAGAGAUAGUCAGGAAUCUGAAACCCUGCAUCUCCUCUGGACUCAAACAAAGUACAGCAGAUGGAGGUGCUUGCUCAGUCUGACUACCAGGUUCCAUCUGUCUUGGUGCUGGACGUGAAGGAAUCUUCACCAACUUUGAUGUUACUUCUACAACCCGUUUACUUGCAGCCAAGUCUGAAGUCAGUUUUGCCUUUUCAGGCCAAAGAUGAAGUCUUACCCCAAAACAUGGAGCAAGAUUUGUCACAAAGAUGAAAUGGCUUUUUCCAUUUGAACCCAAUUUCUGUAUAUCCAACCACCGCCUCCUCCCAUCCAUUGCCAAAAC